UCGAGGCCCGCCCCUUCCUGACUUAGACGCUUCCUGUCUUGCAGGUAUGUGCUUGCUAGCGAAUGCAAAUCAGUGGUGCGCUUGUGGUAACCAGCAUUAUUUUGAAUCAUAGUUUCCGACAUAUAACCAUCUCAUGUUGCUUGGCGACUGCUUUUAAAUGCACUUCCGCUGCAUUUCCACCCCUUCUUGCCGGUUUGAUGUCUGUUUGCGUGUGCGGCUGGACGUGUGAUCAUAGCUACGAUAAAAAGGAACCGAGGCUUCAGGCAGACUGCUAGUUGGCCCUUGUGUGCGGUGGUGGGACUCUGUCAAAGAGUGCAGUGUGUUCACGCUUGACCUUACCGUGUGUGUGUGGUGCGAAUUGUGCACUUGGUGUUAUGCUUCUGGCAAUAUAGUAGCCACAUACUCAUUAAGCUAGCCUACCUGCCUUAGACAGAUGUGAUCAAGCCCAAAGGCCAGUCAUUCCUUGAAGACUGAACUUGUUUCAACAACACAACAUCUCCAAUGUGCAAGUUUCGGUGAGUGUUUUCAUUUUCUGGACUUCC